CAGUAGCCACGGUAAUACAGAGGGUGCGAGCGUUAAUCGGAUUUACUGGGCGUAACGCGUGCGUAGGCGGCUAAUUGAGUCGGAUGUGAAAUCCCCGAGCUUAACUUGGGAAUUGCAUUCGAUACUGGUUAGCUAGAGUGUGGGAGAGGAUGGUAGAAUUCCAGGUGUAGCGGUGAAAUGCGUAGAGAUCUGGAGGAAUACCGAUGGCGAAGGCAGCCAUCUGGCCUAACACUGACGCUGAGGUACGAAAGCAUGGGGAGCAAACAGGAUUAGAUACCCCUGUAGUCCCUGUCUCUUAUAC
rnacentral:rRNA from 1 species